rnacentral:rRNA from 1 species
GGUUAAGCGACUAAGCGUACACGGUGGAUGCCCUGGCAGUCAGAGGCGAUGAAGGACGUGCUAAUCUGCGAAAAGCGUCGGUAAGGUGAUAUGAACCGUUAUAACCGGCGAUGUCCGAAUGGGGAAACCCAGUGCAAUUCGUUGCACUAUCGUUAACUGAAUACAUAGGUUAACGAGGCGAACCGGGGGAACUGAAACAUCUAAGUACCCCGAGGAAAAGAAAUCAACCGAGAUUCCCCCAGUAGCGGCGAGCGAACGGGGAGCAGCCCAGAGUCUGAAUCAGCUUGUGUGUUAGUGGAACGGUCUGGAAAGUCCGACGGUACAGGGUGAUAGUCCCGUACACCAAAAUGCACAGGCUGUGAACUCGAAGAGUAGGGCGGGACACGUGGUAUCCUGUCUGAAUAUGGGGGGACCAUCCUCCAAGGCUAAAUACUCCUGACUGACCGAUAGUGAACCAGUACCGUGAGGGAAAGGCGAAAAGAACCCCGGCGAGGGGAGUGAAAAAGAACCUGAAACCGUGUACGUACAAGCAGUGGGAGCACCUUCGGGUGUGACUGCGUACCUUUUGUAUAAUGGGUCAGCGACUUAUAUUCUGUAGCAAGGUUAACCGUAUAGGGGAGCCGCAGGGAAACCGAGUCUUAACUGGGCGUUAAGUUGCAGGGUAUAGACCCGAAACCCGGUGAUCUAGCCAUGGGCAGGUUGAAGGUUGGGUAACACUAACUGGAGGACCGAACCGACUAAUGUUGAAAAAUUAGCGGAUGACUUGUGGCUGGGGGUGAAAGGCCAAUCAAACCGGGAGAUAGCUGGUUCUCCCCGAAAGCUAUUUAGGUAGCGCCUCGUGAACUCAUCUUCGGGGGUAGAGCACUGUUUCGGCUAGGGGGUCAUCCCGACUUACCAACCCAAUGCAAACUACGAAUACCGAAGAAUGUUAUCACGGGAGACACACGGCGGGUGCUAACGUCCGUCGUGAAGAGGGAAACAACCCAGACCGCCAGCUAAGGUCCCAAAGUCAUGGUUAAGUGGGAAACGAUGUGGGAAGGCACAGACAGCCAGGAUGUUGGCUUAGAAGCAGCCAUCAUUUAAAGAAAGCGUAAUAGCUCACUGGUCGAGUCGGCCUGCGCGGAAGAUGUAACGGGGCUAAACCAUGCACCGAAGCUGCGGCAGCGACACUAUGUGUUGUUGGGUAGGGGAGCGUUCUGUAAGCCUGCGAAGGUGACCUGUGAGGGUUGCUGGAGGUAUCAGAAGUGCGAAUGCUGACAUAAGUAACGAUAAAGCGGGUGAAAAGCCCGCUCGCCGGAAGACCAAGGGUUCCUGUCCAACGUUAAUCGGGGCAGGGUGAGUCGACCCCUAAGGCGAGGCCGAAAGGCGUAGUCGAUGGGAAACAGGUUAAUAUUCCUGUACUUGGUGUUACUGCGAAGGGGGGACGGAGAAGGCUAUGUUAGCCGGGCGACGGUUGUCCCGGUUUAAGCAUGUAGGCUGGUUAUCCAGGCAAAUCCGGAUAAUCAAGGCUGAGGUGUGAUGACGAGGCACUACGGUGCUGAAGUAACAAAUGCCCUGCUUCCAGGAAAAGCCUCUAAGCAUCAGGUAACAUCAAAUCGUACCCCAAACCGACACAGGUGGUCAGGUAGAGAAUACCAAGGCGCUUGAGAGAACUCGGGUGAAGGAACUAGGCAAAAUGGUGCCGUAACUUCGGGAGAAGGCACGCUGGUGUGUAGGUGAAGCCCCUGCGGGUGGAGCUGAGACCAGUCGAAGAUACCAGCUGGCUGCAACUGUUUAUUAAAAACACAGCACUGUGCAAACACGAAAGUGGACGUAUACGGUGUGACGCCUGCCCGGUGCCGGAAGGUUAAUUGAUGGGGUUAUCCGUAAGGAGAAGCUCUUGAUCGAAGCCCCGGUAAACGGCGGCCGUAACUAUAACGGUCCUAAGGUAGCGAAAUUCCUUGUCGGGUAAGUUCCGACCUGCACGAAUGGCGUAAUGAUGGCCAGGCUGUCUCCACCCGAGACUCAGUGAAAUUGAACUCGCUGUGAAGAUGCAGUGUACCCGCGGCAAGACGGAAAGACCCCGUGAACCUUUACUAUAGCUUGACACUGAACAUUGAGCCUUGAUGUGUAGGAUAGGUGGGAGGCUUUGAAGCGUGGACGCCAGUCUGCGUGGAGCCAACCUUGAAAUACCACCCUUUAAUGUUUGAUGUUCUAACGUUGGCCCCUUACCGGGGUUGCGGACAGUGUCUGGUGGGUAGUUUGACUGGGGCGGUCUCCUCCCAAAGCGUAACGGAGGAGCACGAAGGUUAGCUAAUCCUGGUCGGACAUCAGGAGGUUAGUGCAAUGGCAUAAGCUAGCUUGACUGCGAGCGUGACGGCGCGAGCAGGUGCGAAAGCAGGUCAUAGUGAUCCGGUGGUUCUGAAUGGAAGGGCCAUCGCUCAACGGAUAAAAGGUACUCCGGGGAUAACAGGCUGAUACCGCCCAAGAGUUCAUAUCGACGGCGGUGUUUGGCACCUCGAUGUCGGCUCAUCACAUCCUGGGGCUGAAGUAGGUCCCAAGGGUAUGGCUGUUCGCCAUUUAAAGUGGUACGCGAGCUGGGUUUAGAACGUCGUGAGACAGUUCGGUCCCUAUCUGCCGUGGGCGCUGGAGAAUUGAGGGGGGCUGCUCCUAGUACGAGAGGACCGGAGUGGACGCAUCACUGGUGUUCGGGUUGUCAUGCCAAUGGCACUGCCCGGUAGCUAAAUGCGGAAGAGAUAAGUGCUGAAAGCAUCUAAGCACGAAACUUGCCCCGAGAUGAGUUCUCCCUGAGACUAUAAGUCUCCUGAAGGAACGUUAAAGACGAUGACGUUGAUAGGCCGGGUGUGUAAGCGCAGCGAUGCGUUGAGCUAACCGGUACUAAUGAACCGUGAGGCUUAACCUU